rnacentral:tRNA from 1 species
UAUGCGUUGGUGUAUAGGGCACAUAAAGUUUUGAUCUUUAGAGGAAUGGUGUGAGUCCGUUACGUGUAA